rnacentral:rRNA from 1 species
UAACCUGCCCAAGAGAUCGGGAUAACACCUGGAAACAGAUGCUAAUACCGGAUAACAACAGAUGAUGCCUAUCAACUGUUUAAAAGAUGGUUCUGCUAUCACUCUUGGAUGGACCUGCGGUGCAUUAGCUAGUUGGUAGGGUAACGGCCUACCAAGGCGAUGAUGCAUAGCCAGUUGAGAGACUGAUCGGCCACAUUGGGACUGAGACACGGCCCAAACUCCUACGGGAGGCAGCAGCU